UACGAAGGGUGCUAGCGUUGUUCGGAAUAACUGGGCGUAAAGGGCGUGUAGGCGGCGUCAUGCGUCAGAUGUGAAAGUCCUGGGCUUAACCUAGGGACUGCAUUUGAUACGGUGAUGCUAGAGGUCAUGAGAGGGAAACGGAAUUGCGCAUGUAGAAGUGAAAUUCGUAGAGAUGCGCAGGAACACCAGUGGCGAAGGCGGUUUCCUGGCAUUGACCUGACGCUAAAGCGCGAAAGCGUGGGGAGCAAACAGG
rnacentral:rRNA from 1 species